UACGAAGGGGGCUAGCGUUGCUCGGAAUCACUGGGCGUAAAGGGUGCGUAGGCGGGUCUUUUAAGUCAGGGGGUGAAAUCCUGGAGCUCAACUCCAGAACUGCCUUUGAUACUGGCGAUCUCGAGUCCGGGAGAGGUGAGUGGAACUGCGAGUGUAGAGGUGAAAUUCGUAGAUAUUCGCAAGAACACCAGUGGCGAAGGCGGCUCACUGGCCCGGUACUGACGCUGAGGUGCGAAAGCGUGGGGAGCAAACAGG
rnacentral:rRNA from 1 species